GCAUUAAUGGGGCGGUGGUAACCUUAGUCGUUGCCACGCUUUCUCGACCAGCCGCGAGUUCGAUUCUCGCUUAAUGCA